rnacentral:rRNA from 1 species
AUUGAACGCUGGCGGAAUGCUUUACACAUGCAAGUCGAACGGCAGCACGGGGCAACCUGGUGGUGAGUGGCGAACGGGUGAGUAAUACAUCGGAACGUGCCCAAUCGUGGGGGAUAACGUAGCGAAAGUUACGCUAAUACCGCAUACGAUCUACGGAUGAAAGCGGGGGAUCGCAAGACCUCGCGCGAAUGGAGCGGCCGAUGUCAGAUUAGGUAGUUGGUGGGGUAAAGGCUCACCAAGCCAACGAUCUGGAGCUGGUCUGAGAGGACGACCAGCCACACUGGGACUGAGACACGGCCCAGACUCCUACGGGAGGCAGCAGUGGGGAAUUUUGGACAAUGGGCGCAAGCCUGAUCCAGCCAUUCCGCGUGCAGGAUGAAGGCCUUCGGGUUGUAAACUGCUUUUGUACGGAACGAAACGGCUCUCUCUAAUACAGGGGGCUAAUGACGGUACCGUAAGAAUAAGCACCGGCUAACUACGUGCCAGCCGCCGCAGUAAGAC